GAAGAAGAGGAAGAUGAUGUCAAACAUGGAGGAAAUAUGUUUGUGUUUUUCACAGCUGGGACGAUAAAACUUUGAUUCACGACUUGAAAUUCGUUGUAAUUUCUGAAAAAAAACAAAGCAAUCAACUACCUAAUCAAUAAGAUAGGAGAAGAUGAAACCAUAAUCUGGAGUCUCUGGAGCUCCAGUAACAACAGGUCGUCCCUCUGUCCGUCUCGUCCUCGUGGACACGAUGUCUCAGUAACACCUUGACGGAACUUCUUCAAAUUUGGCACAAACAUUCACUCGGACUCGAGACUGAACUGAUUAGAUUUUGGUGGUCAAAGGUCAAAG